CAACUUACUACACACUAUACUCAAAUGAAUAUAAAUCAAACUUCUGCCCCCUCCUCCUCAACCUCCAACCUUCUCUUCAACCUCCAACUUCCAACCCUCCAAUCCCGCCUUUGAGAGAAUUUAGGGUAUCUCUCUGUACAGAAAUGGCGUUCGCUAGUCGCAUCAAAUCAACUAUCUCUGUCCUCACCAAGCUCUCAAGAACUUAUACCGCUGCAUCAGGGAGAAAUGAAGGAAAAGUGAAGGUGCCUAUUGCUUUGUUUGGAGGGUCUGGAAACUAUGCCUCUGCUCUGUAUCCAGCUGCAAUAAAAGCUAAUUCUUUAGACAAGGUGGAAUUUGAACUUGUUAACCUUGUCCAAGCUGUUAAGAAAAGCCCUACAUUUUCUCAGUUCACAAUGGACCUGUCAAUUCCAGCGAAAACUAGAGUUAAGGCAUUGUAGAGAACUUUUUGGUUGUCCUGGCUGAGAAUGGGAGGCUGAGAUAUGUAGAUAGCAUAGCAAAGAAAUUCUUGGAGUUGACCAUGGCUCAUAGGGGAGAAGUUAAAGCCAUUGUUACAACUGUUAUUCCCAUUCCAGCACAAGAAGAGAAAGAAUUGAAGGAGACAAUGCAAGAUAUAAUUGGACAAGGCAAGAAGGUUAAGCUCGAGCAGAAGAUCGAUCCCAACAUCCUUGGUGGUCUAGUUGUAGAAUUUGGCGAGAAGGUGUUUGAUAUGUCCAUUAAAACACGGGCACUUCAAAUAAAGGUUCUUGCGCCAACCUGUAACUCUUGAUGGUCUGUGAAAAGGUGUUUAACUUCUGUGGCACCAUGUCAUCAUCUGCAGCUAAUCGUCACUUUGUCAUCCAUGUUAAUAGACAAAGACAUUUCCCUUUUUUCCCCCAUUCUUUGUUGGUUUUUACCCAAACUUGUUAUUGAUUAUGAUGGUAUACAAUCAUGUAGGUGGAAAUAAGAGUGUCGGCUUUCUAUGUGAAUUAUAAUAGUGGCAAAUUUUAUGUUUAUCAAUGGUAUUGCAAGCUAAUGGCUCUAUAUCUCCUUA